rnacentral:rRNA from 1 species
AAUGAACGUUGGCGGCGUGGAUUAGGCAUGCAAGUCGAGCGAGAAUCGGUCUUCGGAUCGAGGACAGCGGCGAACGGGGUAGGAAUACCUCGGUGACGUACCCCCAGGUCGGGGAUAGCGGCGGGAAACUGCCGGUAAUACCCGAUGACCUUCCCAAGUUUUACGACAGGGGAAGCAAAGGUGUGAUUCCGUCGGGGGAGCGGCUGAGGUCGUAUUAGCUGGUUGGUGAGGUAAUGGCUCACCAAGGCAAUGAUGCGUAGGGGGUGUGAGAGCAUGGCCCCCACCACUGGCACUGAGACACUGGCCAGACACCUACGGGUGGCUGCAGUCGAGAAUCUUCGGCAAUGGGCGCAAGCCUGACCGAGCGACGCCGCGUGCGGGAUGAAGGUCUUCGGAUUGUAAACCGCUGUCGGAGGGGAUGAAGUGCAGGUGGGUACUCCCACCUGUUUGACAGAGCCUCGGAGGAAGCACGGGCUAAGUUCGUGCCAGCAGCCGCCGUAACAC